CCUACGGGAGGCAGCAGUGAGGAAUAUUGGUCAAUGGGCGGAAGCCUGAACCAGCCAAGUCGCGUGAGGGAAUAAGGCCCUACGGGUCGUAAACCUCUUUUGCCGGGGAGCAAGGGCGGGGACGUGUCCCGGCCCGGAGAGUACCCGGAGAAAAAGCAUCGGCUAACUCCGUGCCAGCAGCCGCGGGAAUCCGGAGGAUGCGAGCGUUAUCCGGCUUUAUUGGGUUAAAAGGGUGCGUAGGCGGGCUUUUAAGUAAGCGGGAAAAAUUCGGGGCUCAACCCCGUCCGGCCGUUGAAACUGGGGGCCUUGAGUGGGCGAGAAGAAGGCGGAAUGCGUGGUGUAGCGGUGAAAUGCAUAGAUAUCACGCAGAACCCCGAUUGCGAAGGCAGCCUUCCGGCGCCCUACUGACGCUGAGGCACGAAAGUGCGGGGAUCGAACAGGAUUAGAUACCCUGGUAGUC
rnacentral:rRNA from 1 species